GCGCCCGUAGCUCAGCGGAUAGAGUGCCCGGCUACGAACCGGUAGGUCACAGGUUCAAAUCCUGUCGGGCGCGCCA
rnacentral:tRNA from 2 species